AUUGAACGCUGGCGGAAUGCUUUACACAUGCAAGUCGAACGGCAGCACGGACUUCGGUCUGGUGGCGAGUGGCGAACGGGUGAGUAAUGUAUCGGAACGUGCCCAGUCGUGGGGGAUAACGUAGUGAAAAUUACGCUAAUACCGCAUACGAUCUAUGGAUGAAAGCGGGGGAUCGCAAGACCUCGCGCGAUUGGAGCGGCCGAUAUCAGAUUAGGUAGUUGGUGGGGUAAAGGCCCACCAAGCCAACGAUCUGUAGCUGGUCUGAGAGGACGACCAGCCACACUGGAACUGAGACACGGACCAGACUCCUACGGGAGUCAGCAGUGGGGAAUUUUGGACAAUGGGCGAAAGCCUGAUCCAGCCAUUCCGCGUGCAGGAUGAAGGCCAUCGGGUUGUAAACUGCUUUUGUACAGAACGAAAAGGUUUCUACUAAUACUAGGAGCUCAUGACGGUACCGUAAGAAUAAGCACCGGCUAACUACGUGCCAGCCGCCGCCGUAA
rnacentral:rRNA from 1 species